AAGACACCCUUCUGGGGCAAGACUUGCUUCAGUGGGGCUUUGGUGCUCACUGAGUCUGCCUCCUGAGUGUUCCCUU
rnacentral:pre_miRNA from 1 species